rnacentral:rRNA from 2 species
CGGUAGCUAAUACCGGAUAAUUCCUUCACCCUCAUGGGCGAGGGAUGAAAGGCGGAGCAAUCUGCUACUAGAGGAUGGGCCUGCGGCGCAUUAGCUAGUUGGUGGGGUAACGGCCUACCAAGGCGACGAUGCGUAGCCGACCUGAGAGGGUGAACGGCCACACUGGGACUGAGACACGGCCCAGACUCCUACGGGAGGCAGCAGUAGGGAAUCUUCCGCAAUGGGCGAAAGCCUGACGGAGCAACGCCGCGUGAGUGAUGAAGGUUUUCGGAUCGUAAAGCUCUGUUGCCAGGGAAGAACGUCCGGUAGAGUAACUGCUGCCGGAGUGACGGUACCUGAGAAGAAAGCCCCGGCUAACUACGUGCCAGCAGCCGCGGUAAUACGUAGGGGGCAAGCGUUGUCCGGAAUUAUUGGGCGUAAAGCGCGCGCAGGCGGCUAUUUAAGUCUGGUGUUUAAACCUUGGGCUCAACCUGAGGUCGCACUGGAAACUGGGUGGCUUGAGUACAGAAGAGGAAAGUGGAAUUCCACGUGUAGCGGUGAAAUGCGUAGAUAUGUGGAGGAACACCAGUGGCGAAGGCGACUUUCUGGGCUGUAACUGACGCUGAGGCGCGAAAGCGUG